rnacentral:tRNA from 1 species
GGGUGCUUAGCUCAGUUGGGAGAGCGUCGCGUUUACACCGCGAAGGUCGCAGGUUCGAGCCCCGCAGCACCCACCA